UAUGAUAUGAUCCCAAGACACAGAGACUAUAGAAAUGUUACCUAGAUGGAUUGAUUUGAAUCGUUUUCUGAAAAUACAUACACCAAAUAUAUAUACUUACAAGGUUAAGAAAAAAUAUAUAUAUAUAUAUAUAUAUAUAUAUUUGAGGUGCAAGUGUUGAAGUUACUAUUAAUUUAUCCACCACCCACUAAAUUCAAAAUAAUAGUACAAAAAAGAUUUGAGUAAUAACAAAAUACAAAGCAUUCUGAUGAAGAAAUUAAAGAUGGUUGUUAGAAAAAAAGAAAACGUGACACAGAUUGCAGAGGCAUAAAUCUGUACUACACUGAACUUAUGAACAUUUUCAUGGCGUGAAACUACUACUCUCAAAUCAUCAAUUGUGACCAAAAGAAUUUACAGUUNNNN
rnacentral:lncRNA from 1 species